GACGAACGCUGGCGGCGUGCUUAACACAUGCAAGUCGAACGGAAAGGCCCUGCUUUUGUGGGGUGCUCGAGUGGCUAACGGGUGAGUAACACGUGAGUAACCUGCCCUUGACUUUGGGAUAACUUCAGGAAACUGGGGCUAAUACCGGAUAGGAGCUCCUGCUGCAUGGUGGGGGUUGGAAAGUUUCGGCGGUUGGGGAUGGACUCGCGGCUUAUCAGCUUGUUGGUGGGGUAGUGGCUUACCAAGGCUUUGACGGGUAGCCGGCCUGAGAGGGUGACCGGCCACAUUGGGACUGAGAUACGGCCCAGACUCCUACGGGAGGCAGCAGUGGGGAAUAUUGCACAAUGGGCGGAAGCCUGAUGCAGCAACGCCGCGUGCGGGAUGACGGCCUUCGGGUUGUAAACCGCUUUCGCCUGUGACGAAGCGUGAGUGACGGUAACGGGUAAAGAAGCACCGGCUAACUACGUG
rnacentral:rRNA from 1 species